rnacentral:lncRNA from 10 species
AGAGGCUGGCCAGGCUCGCAGGUGCGGGCCACCUAGGCCUGGCCUGGGCACCUCUGGCCUCGAGGAGGCCUUUUUAUCGUCUCUGUAGUUGAAAGUGGAAGGGUUUCUGCUCACCGGAUGGUCCCAGGCAAUCAAAUAAAUUGAGGGCUCACUGAAUGCCACCUACUCUGCCCAUCAACCUUAUAGAGGCAGGGACAGGUACUAGCCCCAUUUUACAGGUGAAACGAGACCUUCAGACUGUUAAGUCAGCAAAUACUUAAUUGAGCUCCUUUAGUAGGGUUGCCAGAUAAAGUACAGGACACCCACUUAAAUUUGAAUUUCAGAUAAACAACAGUGUA